GACGAACGCUGGCGGCGUGCCUAAUACAUGCAAGUUGAGCGAUGAAGAUUGGUGCUUGCACCAAUUUGAAGAGCAGCGAACGGGUGAGUAACGCGUGGGGAAUCUGCCUUUGAGCGGGGGACAACAUUUGGAAACGAAUGCUAAUACCGCAUAACAACUUUAAACAUAAGUUUUAAGUUUGAAAGAUGCAAUUGCAUCACUCAAAGAUGAUCCCGCGUUGUAUUAGCUAGUUGGUGAGGUAAAGGCUCACCAAGGCGAUGAUACAUAGCCGACCUGAGAGGGUGAUCGGCCACAUUGGGACUGAGACACGGCCCAAACUCCUACGGGAGGCAGCAGUAGGGAAUCUUCGGCAAUAGACGAAAGUCUGGCCGAGCAACGCCGCAUGAGUGAAGAAGGUUUUCGGAUCGUAAAACUCUGUUGGUAGAGAAGAACGUUGGUGAGAGUGGAAAGCUCAUCAAGUGACGGUAACUACCCAGAAAGGGACGGCUAACUACGUG
rnacentral:rRNA from 1 species